rnacentral:rRNA from 1 species
GUGAGGAAUAUUGGUCAAUGGACGGAAGUCUGAACCAGCCAUGCCGCGUGAAGGAUGAAGGCGUUCUGCGUUGUAAACUUCUUUUAUUUAGGAAGAAACCACCGAUUUCUAUUGGUGUUGACGGUAUUAAAUGAAUAAGCACCGGCUAACUCCGUGCCAGCAGCCGCGGUAAUACGGAGGGUGCGAGCGUUAUCCGGAUUUACUGGGUUUAAAGGGUGCGCAGGCGGUCUUAUAAGUCCGGGGUGAAAUACUACAGCUCAACUGUAGAACUGCCUUGGAUACUAUAGGACUUGAAUCGAGUAUAGGUCAGCGGAAUACAACAUGUAGCGGUGAAAUGCAUAGAUAUGUUGUGGAACACCGAUUGCGAAGGCAGCUGACUGGGCUUGAAUUGACGCUCAGGCACGAAAGCGUGGGUAGCGAACAGGAUUAGAUACCCGGGUAGUCC